UAAAAGCGGGAAGCUCAGU
rnacentral:tRNA from 1 species